rnacentral:lncRNA from 10 species
CUGCACACUGUCUCUGUAAUCCUCAUGCUUGGGGAUGGCCAAGGGCAGAGGAGCUGAUGGCUGUGCACCACGGCCGGGCCAGGCACUUUCACCAGCCUCGGCUCCUGUCAUCAUCCAUCUUUGCAUCUACCCUGAGGGAGGCGUCAUUGUCCCCAUUUUCCAGACAAGAUGCUCCCACUCAUGAAGUGACUUGCUCCGGUGCACAGCACUCAGUAAGUGGCUCAUCUGUGGGGCAACGCACAUCCGUGAACUUACUGCAUCAUCACAGUGACUCCACGAAGCACAGCUCUGUUUUGCGGAAAGAAAAGUGAGCUCAAGGAGGAGAAAUGACGUGCCCAGUCCUUCAGCUGGCAGCCUAUACUGGCCAAAGGAAACCAGCAGGGACAGAGCCACGGCUCCAAGGAGGGCUGAUGAUGGAUAGAGUCUGCACAGCAUGGAGAGGCCAUUUCCUGUCCUGACGGGAGUACCUGUGCUACCACCUGAUUUCUCGCUGAUGGCACCCACAUCUCCUGGCCUGGGGUGCUGAUCCCGGAGGCUCAGGGCUGUCCCCAGUGCCCGGCCUGCCAAGUUUGCAUGUAUCAUCUCAGCGAGUCCAGUCUGGGGGGCUCCAACGUCAUACCCAUCUGAGUGCCGUGCAUUCAUUAAACUCCUACAGCACUGAGCCACACUCCGGUUUGCCUAAGACACCAUGGCCACCCAAGGCGAGCCUAAUGUAGAAUGGAGAGGGGUGACACAGCCAUGCCCCAGAAUGGCCUGUUCCUCCUUUUGCUGGAGGCUUCUUUUGAGGGGAUCAGGUGAGAGAGAGGAAUUAGGAAACAGAAUGGCUGAGGAAAACAUGAGGAAGGCUAAAAGAACAAACUUUUAUGUGAAAAUUUACUACUCCCGAGAGAGGCAUUUGGAUGUAAAAAAAAACCCCAGCCAGUGGGUGGUCCUGUAUUUCACAUGCUUUGGGCACACCCAGCAGAAAUCGAGAGCUUGCUACUGGAUUUUUAAAAAGAAAUUCUUUCCUUAGCACCUUUGACAUGUCCUUGUUUGCACACAGAGCCCUCUAAUUUGGGGUACACAGAGAGAGGCACAGAGACCCAUGGAUUAUAUACUUUCCUGCCCUUUUGGUAACUUGUUGGAACCGCACUUUUCUUUCUCAAAAUAUUAUAGCUGAUCAUAAUCAAGUGUCUGAGUCAUUCCCUACAAAGUGGGGCAUUUGUCUGAGGGAUAGAGUCACCCACUUUGAUUUACGAUAGCCCAAGGCAAUUUCUGACCUCGCAGAGAGGAGAAGUGUAAAAGACAAAUGAAGCAGGAUGGAAAUCUACAGGAAACAUCAGAGAUGUUCUUAGUGAAGACCCAUUCAGGCAUAGAGAUGUGUCUCUGGGUCUGUUCUGUGACUGCCCCACAACCCCUCGCUGAUCUCAGCAGUGCAUGAGUGGCACCACAAGAGUCUGAAUGAAAACCCUGCAUUUGGGCCAGAUGCGGUGGCUCACGCCUGUAAUCCCAACACUUUGGGAGGCUGAGGUGAGUGGAUUGCCUGAGGUCAGGAAUUUGAGACCAGCCUUGCCAACAUGGCAAAACCCUGUCUCUACUAAAAAUACAAAAAUUAGCCGGGCAUGGUGGUGGCACCUCUAGUCCUAGCUACUUGGGAGGCUGAGGCCAGAGAAUUGCUUGAACCCAGGAGGCAGAGGUUGCAGUGAGCCAAGAUCAAGUCACUGCACUCCAGCCUGGGCGACAGAGUGAGACUCUGUCUCAAAAAAAAAAAAAAAAAGAAAAAAAGAAAACUCUGCAUUCGAAUUUGUGACUGUAGACAUGUCAGCACUGCAAGCAAACUCCCCAAGCUGUAAAAACAGUGUAAAUUCCAUCUCCCAUCAGGCCCAACACGAUCAGGUCAACCUCGGUGGGCAUCCCAGCCUUGCCAAUAUUUGCUACAGGGAACUGGGAAGUGACAAGGAACCACACAGCUCCAAGAUUCAGUUUCCUCACCCGUAGAAUGGAGAUACUAAUACCUGCCUCUCAGGGCUUCCGAGUGGCUUCAUAAGAAGGCAUGCAGAGUACUCAGCUUAUGCCUCACCCAGAAUCCAGGCUCCAAUCUUACAGGGGCUGCUGAGGCAGGACAGGCAACAUCCUGGUGCCCAUGGGGCUUCCAUGUUUGCACAGCACACCCCCCAGAUGAUUACCUGGGAAUUAAAAAAGUUAUGCCGCCUGGAUUAUUAAUGAUAGCCCACCCCCAGAGACUCCGAUUUAGUUGGCCUGGGAUAUAGCCUAAACACUGGGAUUUUUUAAAAAUGCAGUGUAACACAAAGCCAUAGCCAGCCUCAGCCACAUACCUACAUGGAUCCACAUGUGUUUCCCAUUCCUCCGCCUCAUUCGCUCCAGCUCCCCCGGCUCCUAGCUCCAUCUCUGCUCUGGAUGUUGUUGUUAUUUUGUGGCUGGGCCAGGGAGCAAACUCUCCCCUCUUCUACGACCUGCAGGGUGGGGGCCCAAGCUGGAUUCAGGCCUCUGCCAGGACCUAAGCCUCUGAAGAGUGUGGGGAAGCAGUGGUGAUGAAGGAUCCAGGCACCUGGUGCCGAGGGCAGACAGGCAUAAGAGCUGAAGCUAUGAGAUAGGAGGGGCCAGGAGGCCUGGGGUCUGUGGGUAGAAUUCAGGGCAGUAACCUCUAGCUGAAAUGUAGGUUUUCCCUCCAUUAUGAACAAGGGCAAAACCCCCACAGUAGUCUUCCUGGGGCUUUGUGACCAUUGGGAAUCAUCACUCCUUCUAUAUGACAGCAGAGUUGCUGCAGAUAACUUGCAAUAUUGGUUUUGUUCAUCACUACAUCAAAAUCACAAUCCUGCGUAGACCUGCCGCCAGAUUCUGUGGUUGGUUCAUUAAAUGAAGAAGCACAUAGUUUACCUGAUUACAAAUUUAUUGUUUAAUAUUUUGGUAACAACAGUUUAAUGUCACUGGCUUACUUUACAAUCCUAUGUAUUUUAUCUUACGCAUUAAAAGCACUCCUAGGCCCAGCGCGGAGGCUCACUCUUGUAAUCCCAGCACCUUGGGAGGCCAAGGUGGGCAGAUCACCUGAGGUCAGGAGUUCAAGACCAGCCUAGCCAACAUGGUGAAACCCUGUCUCUACUAAAAAUACAAAAAUUAAGGCAGGUGUGGUGGCGCAUGCUUGUAAUCCCAGCUACCAGGGAGGCUGAGGCAGGAGAAUUGCUGGAACCUGGGAGGCAGAGGUUGCAGUGAGCCGAGAUUGCGCCAUUGCCCCCAGCCUGGGCAACAGAGCAAAACUCUAGUUCAAAAAAAAAAAAAAAAAAAGAGCACUUCUGGGGUUGGGUGCAGUGGCACAUGCCUGCAAUUCCAGCACUUUGAGAAGCUGAGGUGAGAAGAUUACUUGAGGCCAGGAGUUCGAGACCAGCCUGGGCAACAUAGUGAGACCCCAUCUCUACAGAAAAUUAUCUGGGUAUAGUGGCACAUGCCUGUGGUCUCAGCUACUUGGGAGGCUGAGAUGGGAGGAUUGCUCAAGCCUGAGAGGUUGAGGCUGCAGUGAGUCGUGAUCAUGCCAAUGCACCAAUGCAACCUAGCCUGGGUGACAGAGCAAGACCUUGUCUCAAUAAAAAGAUUUAAAAAUAUAAUAAAAUAAGAGCACCUCUAAAAAGGACUCUAUAGGCUGCACAGGACUCCAAAGGGGUUCCUGGCACAGAAAAAGUUAAGAGCUAUGAGCAAUGAGAUGAGGGGUGUUCAAAGCCAUGAUUAGGGCAGCAACGGUGGGGAUAGAGUCCUCUGGCUCUCCCCAGGAACUGCCUGGGGGUUUUAUGAGCUGCUCCUUCCUAGGCUCUGCCCUGCACCAAGUCCCUGGCCCCCUGCAGGCCUGGUUGUUCACUCUGCCUGGGUCCCCCAAGCCAGCCUGAGUCUGAAAGAACUACCUGGUCCUUGAGGCCUCACCUGUCCAUCCAGACCCCUAAGCCCCGGCACCUGGCUGCAACUCUGGCCUUCCCAUUUCCUUAGGUAAACUGCAAUUCCUCAGAGCCAGAAGAGCUGACCAACACUCUGUGAGGGUGGGGACUCCUUGGGAGACCAAGGAACCCCAGAGUGUGGCAGCUGCCCCCACGGCACAGCCUGAGUGGGCAAGUGACUUUUGGGGCAGUGUUUCACUGGAGGGACAGGAGCAGUCUUUGCUGAAGGCCUGGUGGGAAGCUGCUGGGCCUUCCUAGGAGGUUGGGGCAGAGAGCACGGCAUGGGAGACAGAGCCCAAGAAGCAGCUGCCAGGGUGCAGGGCGACUUCCAAUGCUUGGGGCUGCCCCUACAUUUGACACUGAGAGUGGAGGCCCAGAGCUGGGCCCCAUUUCCAGCUCCAGAGUGCAGAUGCUCUAGCCUGGUCCUGUCCUCUGCUCUCUUCAUACCAAGAGGGCUGUGGUCCAGAAACUUCCCAGCAGGAGUCCCCACCAGGAGUCUCAGCCUCUUCCUGGUCAUCUAAAAGCCUCCUAGAAUCCUAGUUCUGGUAGCAAAAACUUCACAGCUUCUCCCCAAGGACCAGAAGCCUACGAUUUCACACGAGUGUGAAGAGACAUGCGCCCCCGCCAAGGACUCUGUGUCCCCAGCAGGGGACAGGGGCGAGUCACCACAUGAUGAGAUUGAUGCAUGAGAACUCCUGUCAGGACAAGGGAGUUUCUGGGUUUGUUGUGGUUUUAAUUUGUGAUCUACUUGAUGCAAGCACAUUCUUUAAAAAUGAAAUAGCACUGAAAGGCAGUUUCUGGUCCCAUCCCUCCUGCUUUCUUGUGUGAAAAUAAAUAUAAUUUAAAAGCUGUUGGAACCCAAAAAAACCCACUUCAAACCUUAAGAGAAAUGUGAAUGUGAUCUUAGUCACAUAUGGUUCCAACUUCUGUUUCUCAGAUUAUAGAUUAACUUGUUUUCUUAUUUUUUUGUUCUGUACAAUGACUAGAGAGAAUUAAAUUAUAUCAGGGACAAAAGCCUCCUGCCUUCUUAAUUAAUGACUCUUGUUAUAGAUUAACUUCCCCUUUGUUGUCCUACUUUGCCUAAACCAGAUGACAGAAAACCCAUGACUGUUACACCCAUUAUAUUCAAAAUGCUAAAUGUACCCUUUCCAAAAAGGAUGCAUUGCCUAUCAUCAAUCAAAUUGCUGGAAGUAUGUGCCAACUUCAUAUGAAAAAUGUUGUAAUCCUGCUAAAAACAUCUCUGUCUCUGCAUCUAUAAAUGAAACCCUAAUUUCUCUACUUCAGAACACUGCCUCCAUCUCUUCGCAGUUGAUGCUCCUGAGUGGGCCAUCCUCAAACUUUGUAUUUGAAUAAACUCUCUUUAAAUUAGA